UACAGAGGUCUCAAGCGUUGUUUCGGAUUCAUUGGGCGUAAAGGGUGCGUAGGUGGCGUCGUAAGUCAGGUGUGAAAUCUCGGGGCUUAACUCCGAAACUGCAUUUGAUACUGCGGUGCUUGAGGACUGGAGAGGAGACUGGAAUUUACGGUGUAGCAGUGAAAUGCGUAGAGAUCGUAAGGAAGACCAGUGGCGAAGGCGGGUCUCUGG
rnacentral:rRNA from 1 species